GACGAACGCUGGCGGCGUGCCUAAUACAUGCAAGUAGAACGCUGAAGGAGGAGCUUGCUUCUCUGGAUGAGUUGCGAACGGGUGAGUAACGCGUAGGUAACCUGCCUGGUAGCGGGGGAUAACUAUUGGAAACGAUAGCUAAUACCGCAUAAUAGCAGUUGUUGCAUGACAACUGUUUGAAAGGUGCAAUUGCACCACUACCAGAUGGACCUGCGUUGUAUUAGCUAGUUGGUGGGGUAACGGCUCACCAAGGCGACGAUACAUAGCCGACCUGAGAGGGUGAUCGGCCACACUGGGACGGAGACACGGCCCAGAGUCCUACGGGAGGCAGCAGUAGGGAAUCUUCGGCAAUGGACGGAAGUCUGACCGAGCAACGCCGCGUGAGUGAAGAAGGUUUUCGGAUCGUAAAGCUCUGUUGUAAGAGAAGAACGAGUGUGAGAGUGGAAAGUUCACACUGUGACGGUAUCUUACCAGAAAGGGACGGCUAACUACGUG
rnacentral:rRNA from 1 species